GUGUGCAUGAUCCUGCCUGGUGGUGGGUGCAGGCUUCAAACCUGUGGGGGUGUGAAAGCCCAGCGGUUCAAUUCCGCCUUGCGCAC